rnacentral:lncRNA from 10 species
CUGGUAAGAAACUGAAUGCCUUUCUCCUGAGAUCAGGAACACAACAAGGAUAUCCUUUCUUGCCACUUCCAUUCAACAUUGCAGUGAAGGUCAUACAAUUCCAGGUUGCUCACAGACCCCCUCUAGGAGAUGUUACUGUCGCUCAUUCGUAUUUCCGGUUCUACUCCUCUUCCGGGCACACUGGAGAAUUACACUUCCUUGCUGACUUGAGAUAAGUCACAGCUUUGGCCAAUGAAGUGUGAAUGGAAGUUUUCAGAACCUUUAAGAGCCUGUACGCAAUUUGCCAUGCUUUCUCUUUUUGCUUUGUCACCAAAACCUCUGUGUUCCAGAUAGUGACUACUCUGUCUGCGUGGGUCCUGGAGAGAGGAGGAUGCAGAGCACAGCACUUAGCCAACCUGCAAUGGACACGUAGAAAAACUUCUAAAAUCAUCAGGAGAUAUCACUGAAAAGGUUUCAAAACAAAGCCAUAAUCUCUAGAAAUGUGUCCUUGAUGGGUUGGUCUUCAUUUGCCUGAAGAAAUUGAGGCUAAGUGAGCCAAGGAAAAAGUCAUCCAUCAAGAACAAAGCAAGAUUUCUCAACCAUGGCAGGACGUUAGGAUCAUCUGUAGAACUUUAAAAUAUUGUUUAAUUUUUUUCAUUUGGUUUCCUUUAUAGUUGAUUUUGUUUAACUUUGCCAGUGAAAUUUAAAAAACAAAAAACAAAAAACAGCAAUGCU